AUUGAACGCUGGCGGCAGGCCUAACACAUGCAAGUCGAGCGGAUGAGGAAAGCUUGCUUUUCGAUUCAGCGGCGGACGGGUGAGUAAUGCCUAGGAAUCUGCCUGUUAGUGGGGGAUAACUCGGGGAAACUCGGGCUAAUACCGCAUACGUACUACGGGAGAAAGGGGAGGAUCUUCGGCCCUCACGCAAACAGAUGAGCCUAGGUCGGAUUAGCUAGUAGGUGAGGUAAUGGCUCACCUAGGCGACGAUCCGUAACUGGUCUGAGAGGAUGAUCAGUCACACUGGAACUGAGACACGGUCCAGACUCCUACGGGAGGCAGCAGCGGGGAAUAUUGGACAAUGGGCGAAAGCCUGAUCCAGCCAUGCCGCGUAUGUGAAGAAGGUCUUCGGAUUGUAAAGCACUUUAAGUUGGGAGGAAGGGUAUUCACCUAAUACGUGGGUACUUUGACGUUACCAACAGAAUAAGCACCGGCUAACUCUGUGCCAGCCGCCGCCGUAAUAC
rnacentral:rRNA from 1 species